rnacentral:rRNA from 1 species
AGAGUUUGAUCCUGGCUCAGGAUGAACGCU